AGAAACUUCAGCGUACAGUUUAUAAUGGGUGGCCAUUCCCAGCUGUAGUCUACGGGCGGGUAGUGAACUGGUUGAGAAAAGUGGAAGCUUGUGGAAAAGCGGUUUGAGAAGUUUGUAAGAAAACCCUGAAUUAUCAGUCUUGUGGGAAGAAGGCAUUGCGUCUCCACGCAGAGGGCCCUUAUCACAUAAAGAAUAUAAGAACCAUCAAGACCAACCAGGUUUUAUCUGGUUCUUCAAAAGCAACACCUGCAGUCGAGUCCAUGCCAGACAGAGGGUGCAUGUGAAUGAAUUGCCUUUUGACUAAGUUUUGUGUGUUCCUUAUCAAAUACAUGAAGAUUUUUAAA